UACGGAGGGUGCGAGCGUUGUCCGGAUUUACUGGGCGUAAAGAGCGCGCAGGCGGUCGUUCAAGUCGAGUGUGAAAGCCCCCGGCUCAACUGGGGAGGGUCAUUCGAUACUGAUCGACUCGAAGGCAGGAGAGGGUAGUGGAAUUCCCGGUGUAGUGGUGAAAUGCGUAGAUAUCGGGAGGAACACCAGUGGCGAAGGCGACUACCUGGCCUGUUCUUGACGCUGAGGCGCGAAAGCUAGGGGAGCAAACGGG
rnacentral:rRNA from 1 species